rnacentral:rRNA from 1 species
GACGAACGCUGGCGGCGUGCCUAAUACAUGCAAGUAGAACGCUGAAGGAGGAGCUUGCUUCUCUGGAUGAGUUGCGAACGGGUGAGUAACGCGUAGGUAACCUGCCUGGUAGCGGGGGAUAACUAUUGGAAACGAUAGCUAAUACCGCAUAAUAGUAGAUGUUGCAUGACAUUUGCUUAAAAGGUGCAAUUGCAUCACUACCAGAUGGACCUGCGUUGUAUUAGCUAGUUGGUGGGGUAACGGCUCACCAAGGCGACGAUACAUAGCCGACCUGAGAGGGGGAACGGCCACACUGGGACUGAGACACGGCCCAGACUCCUACGGGAGGCAGCAGUAGGGAAUCUUCGGCAAUGGACGGAAGUCUGACUGAGCAACGCCGCGGGAGUGAAGAAGGUUUUCGGAUCGUAAAGCUCUGUUGUAAGAGAAGAACGAGUGUGAGAGUGGAAAGUUCACACUGUGACGGUAUCUUACCAGAAAGGGACGGCUAACUACGUG